rnacentral:lncRNA from 1 species
AUUUUCCUUAAUGUUGUCGAGAGCUAAUUUGUUUGUCAUGUAAGAGGCAAUAAUAUUUUUCUUUGAAAUGGAGAUCUUUGACAUUUCGGGGGUAUCUACCAAAAACCAAUCAUUUAUGCGCAAAUCAAUUGGAGUAUCGGAAUAUCUUAACACACAAGCUGCACCGACCAUAGUUUCAUUAAUUGUGCCCUAUUUCUCUCUUUAGACAGCACCACCAUUAGCAUUUGCAAAAUAAAAUUACGAUACGGCAUGCUUUUAGUGUUUUAGGCAUUGCACCCAUAUUGGUUUUUGUUUUUUGCGUUUUUUUUUUUUUUUGGGUUUAAUGAAAUUUAGGCAUUGUUGCCUUUUAACCUGGUCAACUCUCCAGAGAAAAUUUCACCUGUUCCGGCCAAAAAUUUCAGUCUCCCUCUUAACACUCUACUCUUUCAAUUCUCUCUCUCUCUCUCUCUCUCUCUGCUCCAUCACUUUGGGAGAGCGUCCAAACGAUCCAAACAAUGACAAGGCUGACAAGGCCUUUGUG